AGCAGCCGCGGUAAUUCCAGCUCCAAUAGCGUAUAUUAAAGUUGUUGCAGUUAAAAAGCUCGUAGUUGAAUUUCGGGGUUAGCAGGUCGGUCGUGCCAUCGGUAUGAACUGGUCUCGCUGAUCCCUCCCUCUUGACGAACUGUGAUGCCAUUAAUUUGGUGUCGCAGGGAAUCAGGACUGUUACUUUGAAAAAUUAGAGUGUUUAAAGCAGGCUCACGCUUGAAUACAUUAGCAUGGAAUAAUGAAAUAGGACGUUUGAUCCUAUUUUGUUGGUUUCUAGGAUUGACGUAAUGAUUAAUAGGGAUAGUUGGGGGCAUUAGUAUUCAAUUGUCAGAGGUGAAAUUCUUGGAUUUAUUGAAGACUAACUACUGCGAAAGCAUUUGCCAAGGAUGUUUUCAUUAAUCAAGAACGAAAGUUAGGGGAUCGAAGAUGAUCAGAUACCGUCGUAGUCUUAACCAUAAACUAUGCCGACUAGGGAUCGGA
rnacentral:rRNA from 1 species